UCAUUCGAAGACUGGCUCCUG
rnacentral:miRNA from 1 species